rnacentral:rRNA from 1 species
GACGAACGCUGGCGGCGUGCUUAACACAUGCAAGUCGAACGGAAAGGCCCUGCUUGCAGGGUACUCGAGUGGCGAACGGGUGAGUAACACGUGGGUGAUCUGCCCUGCACUUCGGGAUAGGCCUGUUAAACUGGGUCUAAUACCUGAUAGGAGCCAUUUUUAGUGGGAUGGUUGGAAAGUUUUUGCGGUUUAGGAUGAGCUCGCGGCCUAUCAGCUUGUUGGUGGGGUAAUGGCCUACCAAGGCGGCGACGGGUAGCCGGCCUGAGAGGGUGGACGGCCACAUUGGGACUGAGAUACGGCCCAGACUCCUACGGGAGGCAGCAGUGGGGAAUAUUGAACAAUGGGCGCAAGCCUGAUGCAGAGACGCCGCGUGGCGGAUGACGGCCUUCGGGUUGUAAACUACUUUCGCUAGGGACGAAGCUUUUUGUGACGGUACCUAGAUAAGAAGCCCCGGCUAACUACGUG